rnacentral:rRNA from 1 species
AUUGAACGCUGGCGGCAUGCCUUACACAUGCAAGUCGAACGGCAGCACGGGGCAACCUGGUGGCGAGUGGCGAACGGGUGAGUAAUGCAUCGGAACGUACCUUUCAGUGGGGGAUAACGUAGCGAAAGUUACGCUAGUACCGCAUAUUCUGUGAGCAGGAAAGCAGGGGAUCGCAAGACCUUGCGCUGAUUGAGCGGCCGAUGUCAGAUUAACUAGUUGGUGAGGUAAAGGCUCACCAAGGCGACGAUCUGUAGCGGGUCUGAGGGGAUGAUCCGCCACACUGGAACUGAGACACGGUCCAGACUCCUACGGGAGGCAGCAGUGGGGAAUUUUGGACAAUGGGGGCAACCCUGAUCCAGCCAUGCCGCGUGAGUGAAGAAGGCCUUCGGGUUGUAAAGCUCUUUCGGCCGGGAAGAAAUCGCACGGGCUAAUGCCCUGUGUGGAUGACGGUACCGGAAUAAGAAGCACCGGCUAACUACGUGCCAGCAGCCGCAGUAAGAC